UACGAACUGUGCAAACGUUAUUCGGAAUCACUGGGCUUAAAAGGGUGCGUAGGCGGCUUGUUAAGUAGGGUGUGAAAUCCCCCGGCUCAACCGGGGGAAUUGCGCCCUAAACUGGCGAGCUGGGAGUGAGAUAGGGGUGUGUGGAACUUCCAGUGGAGCGGUGAAAUGUGUUGAUAUGGAAGGAACGCCAGUGGCGAAAAGCGACACUGGGUCUCAACUGACGCUGAGGCACGAAAGCCAGGGGAACAAACGGG
rnacentral:rRNA from 1 species